UGGAUUCUGGCUGGAUGCAGUGGGCCUGGAGUCCCAGCACAACCUUAUCUCUAGAAAAAAAAAAUUUUUCAAUUAACCAGGCAUGGCUCUGUGCUCCUGGAGUCCUAGCUACAGGGAGGCUGAGGCAGGAGGGUCUCUUGAGCCCAGGAGAUCAAGGCUGCAGUGGGCUAUGAUCACACCACUGCACUCCACCCUGGGUGACAGAGAUGUACCCUGUCUCUAAAAAAAUUUUUGUCAUGGAUUCUUUGGCCCCAACUCUGGAGUUUCUUAUUCAGUAACCUGUAGAAGGGCUCUAGCACCUAUCAUUUUAUCCAGGUAAUUCUGAUGUGCAGCUCCUAGACCAUAACACUCACCCCAGGCAUUUGCUACUUCCCUGCUCUCAGCCCUCUGGUGUUCAGGUCACCCUUGGACAGCUGCAUCUUCUCCUGUCUGGGGGUUCAUUCACAGUCUUCUCUCCAGCUUACCAUCCUUGGCUCCCUACCCGCUUCUUACCAAGUGUACAUGUUCCCCAGGUACGGCAUCACCAACAGCUUCAAACAGGAGGCCUCCCACUACCAGCCAAGGCCUGGAGGAGCUUCCACCAGAGCAGCCUGCUGUCCUCCACAGUGCCAGCCUCCCUGCCAGGAAGAGAACUCAGACAGUGGGAAAUGUGACAAGAAAAGCUCAGUCUGGACUACCCUGCAAUGUGGCUGCUACAGAACAAAUGCUUGUUGAAUUCCUGACCCUCAGUGUGAUGCUAUUAGGAGGUGGAGACUUUGGUGAUUACGAAAGCUCUGUCUUCAUGAAUGAGAUCAGUGCCCUUAUAAAAGAGAUUCUGGAGAGCUCCCUUGCCCAUCCCACCAUGUGAGGACACAGCAAGAAGGCGCCAUGUAUGAACCAGGAAAUGGGCCCUCACCAGACACAGUGCCUGCUCUGGGACUUCCCAGGCUCCAGAACUGUGAGAAAUAAAAGUCUGUUGUUUAUAAGCCACCCAGUCUAUGGUACUGUAUUAUGGUAGCCUAAACAGACUAAAACAGACGUUCUGGGGCAGGACCUGAGAGUUUAGAUGGCUAACAAGUUUCAGAUGAUGCUGAGGCUGCAGCAGGAACUUCUUGAUGUGGCUCAUGGGGUUCAGGAAGAUUAAUUUUCUCCAAGUGGAAAAAAGGUCAAAAGGGUGGAAAGGGAACUGGCAACAGGAGACAAC
rnacentral:lncRNA from 1 species